rnacentral:RNase_P_RNA from 1 species
CGAGUGGGCCAGGCGGCUGCGUGCUUCGGUACGAGGAAAGUCCGGGCUCCACAGGGCAGGAUGCCAGCUAACGGCUGGGCGGGGCGACCCGACGGAAAGUGCCACAGAAAAGAAGACUCCCCCGAGUGUUGCGGUUUGGCCGCGAAAUGCACCGGGAGAAAAGCUGAAACGGUGCGGUAAGAGCGCACCAGCGCGUCGGCAACGGCGCGGCUUGGCAAACCCCAUCCGGAGCAAACGCAAAUAGGGAUGCCAUGCGGUGGCCCGCCGCGCAUCCGGGUUGCGCGCUCGAGGCGGCAGGCGACUGUCGUCCUAGAUAAAUAGCCGUCCCACGACAGAACCCGGCUUACCGGCCCGCUCGCAAU